CACGUAGUUAGCCGGUGCUUCUUCUCCAAAUACCGUCUUACAUUCGUCUUUGGCGAAAGGAGUUUACAACCCGAAGGCCGUCAUCCCCCACGCGGCGUCGCUGCAUCAGGCUUCCGCCCAUUGUGCAAUAUUCCCCACUGCUGCCUCCCGUAGGAGUCUGGGCCGUAUCUCAGUCCCAAUGUGGCCGUACACCCUCUCAGGCCGGCUACCCGUCGACGCCUUGGUAGGCCAUUACCCCACCAACAAGCUGAUAGGCCGCGAGCUCAUCCCACACCGAAAAAACUUUCCACCACAACAACAACGAAGUGGUCCUAUCCGGUAUUAGACCCAGUUUCCCAAGCUUAUCCCGAAGUGCAGGGCAGAUCACCCACGUGUUACUCACCCGUUCGCCACUCGAGUACCCCAGCAAGCUAGGGCCUUUCCGUCGACUUGCAUGUGUUAAGCACGCCGCCAGCGUUCAUCCUGAGCCAGGAUCAAACUC
rnacentral:rRNA from 1 species